UACGUAGGGUGCGAGCGUUAAUCGGAAUUACUGGGCGUAAAGCGUGCGCAGGCGGCUUUGCAAGACAGAUGUGAAAUCCCCGGGCUUAACCUGGGAACUGCAUUUGUGACUGUGAGGCUGGAGUACGGCAGAGGGGGAUGGAAUUCCGCAUGUAGCAGUGAAAUGCGUAGAUAUGCGGAGGAACACCGAUGGCGAAGGCAAUCCCCUGGGCCUGUACUGACGCUCAUGCACGAAAGCGUGGGGAGCAAACAGG
rnacentral:rRNA from 1 species